UGUAGGCGGCAUGGCAAGUCAGAUGUGAAAGCCCUCGGCUUAACCGAGGAAGUGCAUUUGAAACUGCUGAGCUGGAGUACGGGAGAGGGUUGUAGAAUUCCCGGUGUAGAGGUGAAAUUCGUAGAUAUCGGGAGGAAUACCGGUGGCGAAGGCGGCAACCUGGACCGAUACUGACGCUGAGACGCGAAAGCGUGGGGAGCAAACA
rnacentral:rRNA from 1 species